CGCAAGCCUGAUCCAGCCAUACCGCGUGUGUGAAGAAGGCCCUAGGGUUGUAAAGCACUUUAAGUUGGGAAGAAAAGUUAUUGGUUAAUAUCCAAUAACCGUGACAUUACCAUCAGAAUAAGGACCGGCUAAUUCCGUGCCAGCAGCCGCGGUAAUACGGAAGGUCCAAGCGUUAAUCGGAAUUACUGGGCGUAAAGCGCGCGUAGGUGGUUUAUUAAGUUGGAUGUGAAAUCCCCGGGCUCAACCUGGGAACUGCAUCCAAAACUGAUUCACUAGAGUACGAUAGAGGGAGGUAGAAUUCACAGUGUAGCGGUGGAAUGCGUAGAUAUUGUGAAGAAUACCAAUGGCGAAGGCAGCCUCCUGGAUCUGUACUGACACUGAGGUGCGAAAGCGUGGGUAGCGAACAGGAUUAGAUACCCUGGUAGUCCACGCCGUAAACGAUGUCAACUAGCUGUUGGAAAACUAUGUUUUUCAGUGGCGCAGCUAACGUAGUAAGUUGACCGCCUGGGGAGUACGGCCGCAAGGCUAAAACUCAAAUGAAUUGACGGGGACCCGCACAAGCGGUGGAGCAUGUGGUUUAAUUCGAUGCAACGCGAAAAACCUUACCUAUACUUGACAUACUUGGAAUGCUUUGUAAUGAAGCAGUGCCUUCGGGAGCCAAGAUACAGGUGCUGCAUGGCUGUCGUCAGCUCGUGUCGUGAGAUGUUCCGUUAAGUCGGAUAACGAGCGCAACCCUUACCCUUAUUUGCCAGCGAUUCGGUCGGGAACUAUAAGGGGACUGCCGGUGAUAAACCGGAGGAAGGUGAGGACGACGUCAAGUCAUCAUGGCCCUUACGUAUAGGGCUACACACGUGCUACAAUGGGGAAUACAGACGGACGCUAAGCCGCGAGGUGGUGCUAAUCCUAGAAAAUUCUUCGUAGUCCGGAUUGGAGUCUGCAACUCGACUCCAUGAAGUCGGAAUCGCUAGUAAUCGCGAAUCAGCAUGUCGCGGUGAAUACGUUCUCGGGUCUUGUACACACCGCCCGUCAUACCAUGGAAGUGGAUUGCACCAGAAGUAGAUAGUCUAACCUUCGGGAGGGCGUUUACCACGGUGUGCUUCAUGACUGGGGUAAAGUCGUAACAAGGUAGCCGUAGGGGAACCUGUGGCUG
rnacentral:rRNA from 1 species